UCUGCCCUUCGGCGGAGGACACGCCCUCGAAAGGGGGUCUAAUACUGCGUAACAUAUUGAGAUCGCAUGGUCUCUUUAUCAAAGCAGCAAUGCACCGGAGGAUGAUCCCGCGUCUGAUUAGCUUGUUGGUAGGGUAACGGCCUACCAAGGCGACGAUCAGUAGCCGGCCUGAGAGGGUGAACGGCCACACUGGGACUGAGAUACGGCCCAGACUCCUACGGGAGGCAGCAGUAGGGAAUAUUGCGCAAUGGUCGAAAGACUGACGCAGCAACGCCGCGUGGAUGAUGAAGUUUUUCGGAAUGUAAAAUCCUUUCAGUGGGGAAGAACGGCCUUCGGGUUUGACGGUACCCACAGAAGAAGUCCCGGCCAACUCCGUGCCAGCAGCCGCGGUAACACGGGGGGGACAAGCGUUGUUCGGAUUUACAGGGCGUAAAGCGCUCGUAGGCAGUCUUGCAAGUCGGAUGUGAAAACCGAAGGCUCAACCAUCGGCCUGCAUCUGAAACUGCGAGUCUAGAGUACUGGAGAGGAUGGCGGAAUUCCUGGUGUAGCGGUGAAAUGCGUAGAUAUCAGGAGGAACACCGGCGGCGAAGGCGGCCAUCUGGACAGAUACUGACGCUGAGGGGCGAAGGCUAGGGUAGCAAACAGGAUUAGAUACCCUGGUAGUCCUAGCGGUAAACGAUGGGCACUAGGUGUUGGCGGUAUCGACCCCGCCAGUGCCGCAGCUAACGCAUUAAGUGCCCCGCCUGGGGAGUACGGUCGCAAGAUUGAAACUCAA
rnacentral:rRNA from 1 species